AUUGAACGCUGGCGGCAGGCCUAACACAUGCAAGUCGAACGAGUGGCGGACGGGUGAGUAAUGUGUGGGAAACUGCCUGAUGGAGGGGUAAAAACAGUGGAAACGGUAGCUAAUACCGCAUAACCUCGGAUACGCCCAGAUGGGAUUAGAUAGUAGGUGGGGUAACGGCUCACCUAGGCGACGAUCCCUAGCUGGUCUGAGAGGAUGACCAGCCACACUGGGACUGAGACACGGUCCAGACUCCUACGGGAGGCAGCAGUGGGGAAUAUUGCACAAUGGGCGCAAGCCUGAUGCAGCCAUGCCGCGUGUAUGAAGAAGGCCUUAGGGUUGUAAAGUACUUUCAGCGGGGAGGCGUUACCCGCAGAAGAAGCACCGGCUAACUCCGUGCCAGCAGCCGCGGUAAUAC
rnacentral:rRNA from 1 species